AUUGAACGCUGGCGGCAGGCCUAACACAUGCAAGUCGAACGAGUGGCGGACGGGUGAGUAAUGUCUGGGAAACUGCCCGCUGGAGGGGGAUAACUACUGGAAACGGUAGCUAAUACCGCAUAAUAUCGGAUUAACCAAUAUGGGAUUAGCUAGUAGGUGGGGUAAAGGCUCACCUAGGCGACGAUCUCUAGCUGAUCUGAGAGGUUGAUCAGCCACACUGGGACUGAGACACGGCCCAGACUCCUACGGGAGGCAGCAGUGGGGAAUAUUGCACAAUGGGCGCAAUCCUGAUGCAGCCAUGCCGCGUGUAUGAAGAAGGCCUUAGGGUUGUAAAGUACUUUCAGCGGGGAGGCGUUACCCGCAGAAGAAGCACCGGCUAACUCCGUGCCAGCAGCCGCGGUAAUUC
rnacentral:rRNA from 1 species